GCCUGGGUAGCUUAGUGGUGGAGCGGCCGGCUGUUAACCGGCAGGUCGACGGUUCGAAUCCGUCCCCAGGCG
rnacentral:tRNA from 1 species